AUUGAACGCUGGCGGCAUGCUUUACACAUGCAAGUCGAACGGUAACAGGGUGCUUGCACCGCUGACGAGUGGCGAACGGGUGAGUAAUACAUCGGGAUGUACCCAGUAAUGGGGGAUAACGCUUCGAAAGGAGUGCUAAUACCGCAUACGCCCUGAGGGGGAAAGUGGGGGACCGCAAGGCAUACCGUUAUUGGAGCAGCCGGUGGCUGAUUAGCUAGUUGGUGAGGUAAAGGCUCACCAAGGCGACGAUCAGUAGCGGGUCUUAGAGGACGAUCCGCCACACUGGAACUGAGACACGGUCCCGACUCCUACGGGAGGCAGCAGUGGGGAAUCUUGGACAAUGGGCGAAAGCCUGAUCCAGCAAUGCCGCGUGCGUGAAGAAGGCCUUCGGGUUGUAAAGCGCUUUUGUCUGGGAGCAAAUCCUGGCCUCUAAUACAGGUCGGGGAUGAGAGUACCAGAAGAAUAAGGACCGGCUAACUACGUGCCAGCCGCCGCCGUAA
rnacentral:rRNA from 1 species